rnacentral:lncRNA from 10 species
CUUCCGGUCUUCCGUCAAGGGUAUAUGAGUAGCUGCGCUCUCUACUAGAACCUCCAAGCAAGCGCUCAGGAAUUGGCAACACGGAGAAGGGACAUGAAGAAACCUUUAAGGAUGGAGGUGUGUCUACUGUCUUCAUCCUGGUGAUGCUUUCAUAGGCCAGUGUAAAACUCAGUCUUUGGCUUCUGAUGAGUCUACCAUGAUACUGACAACCUACCAGCUGAAGAGAAGUCUCUACAUGGACUGUGCAAAAGAGAUUCAGAGGCGUCUACUGAAUUUCAACCAUAAAUUGUCUAGUAUAAAGGAAGAUAAGUGUCCCUGCUGAAGAAGAAUGGAAACAUAAUGGAAUCAAUUCGGUGUGUCUGUGGAAAGAACUUAUUUCUCCAUUCCCCCAGGAUCCAGAGAAGCAGGCAACGUGGCUCCCAGGAAAAUGGCUUGAACAGAACCCAUGAGAGGAAGGCUGUCAGUUCAUGGAAGGGUUAUUCAUGAUAAUUUAUCAUUGAGGUCUGGCAGCCAAGAUGGCCGAAUAGGAACAGCUCUGGUCUAC